rnacentral:lncRNA from 1 species
CCCCGCAUUGGAUCUGAUCACUCUCCUCCGCUACUCCAAAUUAGAGCAAAAGUGGGCCGAAACCAUAAUAAGCCUUUUCGGUUUCAUAAAUUUUGAUUAUCUUUUACUACUAUCAAAGAGGCUGUGAAACAGGCUUGGAGAUGUCAAAGUAAUACUUCUCAAAGUGUUUUGAUGGUUCACCUUCUAAGAAAUACUCCCUAGGUAUUGCGUCGAUGGAACAAAAAAUAUGUGAAAAAUCUCUUUGAGAAAUCAAACCGAUCGGAA